AACGCUGGCGGCGUGGAAAGGCAUGCAAGUCGAACGAUCCCUUCGGGGAUAGUGGCAAAAGGAUGAGUAACGCGUGGAUUACCUGCCCUUAACUUUGGGACAACACUGAGAAAUCGGUGCUAAUACCGAAUGUGAUCCUUCGGGAUUAAAGGUGGCCUCUCCCUGGAGGCUGCCGGUUGAGGAUGGGUCCGCGUCCUAUUAGCUUGUUGGUGGGGUAAAGGCCCACCAAGGCGACGAUGGGUACCCGGGCUGAGAGGCUGGUCGGGCAUAUUGGGACUGAGACACUGCCCAAACUCCUACGGGAGGCUGCAGUCGAGAAUAUUUCGCAAUGGGGGAAACCCUGACGACGCGACGCCGCGUGAGCGAUGAAGGCCUUCGGGUUGUAAAGCUCUGUCACCAGGGAUGAAAGUUGCAGAAGUUAAUACCUUCCGCGAUAGACCUUACCUGGAGAGGAAGCCCCGGCUAACUCCGUGCCAGCAGCCGCGGUAAUACGGAGGGGGUUAGCGUUGA
rnacentral:rRNA from 1 species